ensembl:lncRNA
CUUCAAUACUGUGCAGUGACUGCGUGAGGGAAACCCGCAGAGUUAAUGAUAGCCAUGUGCAACACUGUGAACGGCUCAAUUUUAGGAAAUAGACUAGGGGACAUAAGUUGAAUGUCAUCUUAAAUUGGAUUGGAUAGAGCUACUGUCAAAUGAUCUGUCUUUUUUUAAGUGUUAUAAAAUGGUGGUGAAGAAUAGAGAGCUUUCAGUUAUGGUCUGGUCCUGUGUUCGAGGUCGCCCAUGAACGAUGGAAGCGCGCUCCCGACACUUCAGGUGAAUGAGAGGGAAGCAGAGGAGCGGGACACGGUUCACGGUGCUUCGCAUUAAAAAGGAACAAUUAGAAGAAAAUGAGUUGUGCUACGUCGCUUGGAGCACAUGUUUUUAUGACAGCUUAUCUCCUCUUCGUGGUGGGAUGCGUGGCACAGAAAGUGUACUUUGACUGUGGUGCCAAGGUGGACGUGGUGGACGUCCAAGGCCUCAUUCUGUCUCCUGGCUUUCCUUACAACUACUCCUCUGGGACUCACUGUGUUUGGCAGUUUGUUGUGCCCAUUGAUUACCAGCUUAUUCUGGAAAUAUUUGACUUUGACAUAUUUGAAAGCCAUGACUCUGCACAAUACUCUGCUAUCUCUGAUUUUGAGGAGGAGGAAGUGGAUGAAGAGGAGACUUUUACUCCUGGUAGCGUAGCAGCAGAUGAAACCUCUUCAGAGGGUAAAGAUUCUGUGCUUCAGAGUGCCUCAAAGACUCAGCAGUCCUCCCAAGAUGGUGAGGUCAAGCAAGUUGUGGUCCAGGAACAGUCCACAAAAAUGGAGAUUGCCAAAGUCUCAAAUUCUGCCAAAAGAUCUGCAGAUGCCUCCACUAGUCUCUCUUCUCCACCUUCUCCCUCUCUCCUUCUCCUACCUGGAGAUGUAGCUCCAGGUGACAAGGCUGUCAACUCUGCCUCCUCACCUCACCUAAGGGGAGAUCUCAAUCCUGAUUCUAACCCAAGUACAGCUGUGGAAGAAACCACUCUUGCAUCGCCACACUCCACUGACACUACAGCUGUGAGCCCAGAAACCCAGCAGUCUGUGCUUGACGCCUGCCCCCACGAUGUCCUCUACAUUUCAGACCUCAUCACCUUCUCCUCCAGGUUCUGCGGUUCCAAUCGGCCUCCCAGCAGCCAGCUGGUUUUCGGCUCAAGUCAGGAGAUGGUGGAGGUAAUUAUGGAGCUCAUCACUACCACCCACUGGGGACGUGGUUUCGCUCUUCUCUUCCACUACCACAACCUGACCGAGCCAGGAGGAGACCAACGGGCCAUGGCACCUACGGCCAACAAGGUGGACUCUCUGCUGGCUGCAGUGAGUGGAGCUGCCUUCUUCGCUUUGAUACUCACAAGUGCCCUGUGCAUCAUUUUCAGACCCAAACUGUGUCCAAAGAGAGCCAGCUCCUGCGCAUCCAGCAACUCUGAGGUGCCAGAGGAAGUCCAGAACACCAGGGCCGAGGUCAGUGAGCUGCAGCUGAUGGCUGAGAAUCAAACCAACCUGGAGACGACCACAGAGCAGGACAACAACGGCAGCCCACCACACACAGUCAGUGCUGGAGGUGACGUUUCUCAGAAUGCAGAGGUGGACUUGUCCUGCAGCGGCUUGACUGAACUUGACCUUGGUGCGGAUGAGGUUUUCAUUGUAUCCUCAGCUCCUAGCCCAAGUGGAUUGCCCUUCUCACCUCACACACAGCGGGAGAGGUUUCUGCGACACAGCGACACCGGCCCUGGUCCUUCGGGUGAUUGGUCCUCGCCAGACUCCACCACCUCACCUACUGGUGCCAGGUCCGUCAAGGACAGCAGCAGUGGCUGUGCCAGACCAAGAGCGUGGAGCGUACGCACCUUCCAGGACUUCCUCCCUCCGUUGCCACAGCUUCAUAAGAAGUGGUGCAGCUGGAACUCCACCAGUCCCUUCACCAAGCUUGUGGACAGCGCUCCAUCCAGUUUGGUAGCUGACUGUAGAGCAGGUGACACCAGGAAGGUCUUCUCUGAUGUUCACCUCGAGACUAAUCCAGACACCAGCACCAUCUCUGACUCAUCCAUCAGCAAUGCCUCCUACCCGCUAACGCAGUCUGCCCAAAGGCAGCGCCGUCUCAACUCCACCAGCAACCUGCGACGCUCACGCUUCACAGGGCCUUGCUUCGGCCUGCUCUCUGGGACAGCAGACCUAGCGAAGGCCUCUGGGGUUCUUCGUGCUCCGGGAUCCCCCUCAGAGCCCAGCUCUGGCCCUCCUCCGUCCCCCCAGUGCCAGAUCGAGAGUAACCAGGCUGGAAAGAGGCGCGAUUUCCCAGGUGAGGGUGAUCACAUCAGCGUGCCUGUGUUUGCUAUCUCUGAGGAGGAGGACCGGCAGCCUCUGGUAUCAGCUGAGCACCUGGACCAGACCGCUGCCUCUGCCGUGCUGAAUGGACUGGUUAGGGGGACAUAUGAGGGGAAGAGGCCUGCUGUGGAAAGCACCAGCCUCAGCCCACAGAGGGCCAGAGCAGAGUGGAGGCCAUGGGGGAGCCAGGCGUCUGGAGGGGUUGGUCCACUCCCUUCCAGCGCUCUCACCGAGUCAACCCCAGUCAGUGACAGCCAGCCACCUCUCAGUCUGUCUACAGGGCUGUGCAGUGUGACCAACCAGAUGUGACAAGAUGGUGAAGAGCACGGACUCUGGUGGGCCAGUUAUGCAUUUCUGAACUCUUAGUGUCACUGUGAAAUAUAUAACCUACUUCUUUAAUUUCUGAAAUCAACUUUACAAAAUUAUUACUACAUACUCCGUAGCUCCCUGUUGUCAAAUAUACUUCUCACUUUAGUUUUUCUAUUUUUAUAAAAUUGUGUUUGAACAAAGAAGGAAUAAUAUGCUGCUUAAUAUACCAUGACUGCUGUGGUAUUAUGUGUUUCAAAAAGAAGACUGAUUGCGAACAUGAACAAAAAGUAUUUUGAGUGUGUAGUCCAUAACCCUACUGUUAGGAGCACCUUUAACCAGAUUUAUUAAGUAGUUUGAUGUUAUUCAGAGUUAUAAUACUCCAACCAUUGCACUUUGCUUUCAAUAGCUCUUUCAUUGUGGAUUUCAUGCUCCUUGUUCCAGCAUUCUGCUUUUUCUUUAAUGUGGUUUGUCAUGUGGUAAAUUUAGUACUGGUUAAUACAUGCUUAUUCCAUACAUUUUACCCAAAAGUAUUCUGCAAAGCAUAGAUCAUAUAUUUAUAUCAAUGUUACAUCAUACAGUAUCUAAUCCUAAGACUAAUAGUGGAUUAUAAAAAGGGAAAUCAAAAUAAAAGCAUAUCAAGUACUAAUACACACCAUUAUAUAGUCAAUAGAGAACUAGCACUCAAUGUAGUAUUUAAAAUAAGUUGGUAUAAAUUUAUGUAAAGUUUUAAUAAAGGCAAGUCAUUCACAUCUUGUGUCCUUGAUCUGACAGAAAAUGUUAACUCAUGCUUGAUAGAGAAAUCUGCACCGCUUGUUUUGGCAUGACUGUUUUGUAUAUGCUCCACAUUCAGUGACGCACAUACUCAAUGCAGCCGCCACACAACACGUCAGCUGCAUGUAGGUCAGGCUACGAGUCAAUCAUUUUUGUCCAGUCCACACAUCAUGCUUAAAAGAGCCCCUGUUCUAAACCCUGCAAAUUUUCUUGCAAUUACAGACUCUGAUGAUAAUCAUGACCGUAGUGGUGAUCAGCUGCAGUACGCCGCCUCGUCCAGAUUUGAUGCAGACACCAAUACCCAAUUCUGAUUAGAUUUUGUGCACAGACGGUUCAGCCAGCAGACCCUCUGACGUCACACGUCAUGCUGUGGUCCAUGACUGGGAAAUAGUGGAAGCUGGUGCUCUCCCCCCGAGCACCUCUGCACAGGCUGCUGAGUUGUUUGCGCUUAUCAGGGCCUGCAUUAUCUCCAAGGACAAGGUCUCUACUAUCUACACGGACUCCCGCUAUGCUUUCGGUGCAGCUCAUGACUUUGCACAAAUUUGGAAACAGGGUUUUUGACCUCAUGUGGAAAACCACUCAAACAUCACCAACUGAUCAAUGAUUUGAUUGAUGCAAUUUUCUUACCUACACAAUUGGCUACUGUUACAUGUAGGGUUGCCACCCGUCCCUUAAAAUAGGAAAUCGUCCUUUAUUUGACAAUUAAUUGUUGUGUCCCGUAUUGAAUCAAUACGGGACGCAAAUUGUUCCGUAUUUUCAUAAACGCCCCGUACACGUCUGUCACACAGCCAUCAAAACUGCAUAAGGAACAAAAUAAAACACAGGAAAUACUAAGGGCAGCCAAUUUAAACUUCGUAGGACCCACGUAGCGAGGACCCGAUGCCAGGUCCAGCAGAUCACGCUGCACCCGCGUGUUUAAAAAUGUUUACACCCGAAACUCCACCACGUCCACAGAAGCAAAAACGUUUACAAAUGUACAGACGUGAGUGGGAAGAAUGGAACCCCUGGCAGUGGGUAAAAGGCAAACUGUUCUGUGUUGGUCAUUGACUGGCUGAAGUAAGGCAGCAUCAGGAGACCAACAUGUAAGAAACAUGAGAGCAGAGAGAACCCAACCAGUAGGUCACAGUUUAUCAUCCCCCAGUCAUCUCCUGAAGUCCAUAUGGUGAGAGACAUCAGUAUCUGGUUGUUAAUUUACCAGAGGAUGCUUAUAAUCAUGCUGAUGUGGUCCUAGACUCUACACUGUUUUAGUGAUUCAAUAAAUGCCUAAGUUGUUUUUUUUAAUGCUUUUUAGUUUUUAAUAAAUAUUUAUUUAAUAGCCUAUAUGUAAUCAAUAAAUGACCUUUGCCUAUCUAAAGAAAAACUCACUCAGAACUCUAUGCUAACAGCACUAAAUAAAUCAAUAAAUACAUGCAUACACACAAAAAUAAGUUAAUACAUUAACUGUGUUAAGAUUUACAUUUAGAUGAAAAAAAUGUCUGUAGAGAAUUUCUUUGUCCAGUAUUCUGCAUUCAGUUAUGUUUUUGCAGAAUCCAGUAUUUGACACUGGCUGGUCAUUUUAUUUCAUUAGUAUGGUUUCACUGUUUAAAAUGAGGCCACUUCUGUUCGGACAGAACCUGUGAUCAUAAAACAAUACAAAAUUCUUAGUUUCGUGUUAAUAAAGCACUUAAAGCAUUACGUAUGACUAAAUGCUUUUUUCAGAAUUAAAUAUAUCACUCCUUAGGUGGUAGUGACCCCGAGUUCAGUAAAGUUGGAAAGAUAUUCACAGAUUCAGACUUCUGACAUCAAUAACUUGUUUGAUAUAGGUUGUCAAAACAUAAACAAUGCCUCUUUCCCAUUGUUGUAAGGCAGACAAUGUGCUACAAGCCCAGUUUUAUCAAAAGUAGCUGUCUUUCAAGCUACAGGAAUAACAUUGGUGUCUAUGUGCAGCUGGCUGAGUGACGAAUGCACAGACACUGUCUGCAAAACCGCUGCAACAGCGAAGAGAGACACAAAUAUUCAAUAACUUCAACUUAGGCAUUUAUUGAGUCACUAAAAUACUGUAGAGUACAGACCACAUCAGCAUGAUUAUAAGCAUCCUCUGGUAAAUUAACAACCAGAUACUGAUGUCUCUCACCAUAUGGACUUCAGGAGAUGAUUAGAUGAUGAUAAACUGUGACCUACUGGUUGGGUUCUCUCUGUUCUCAUGUUUCUUACAUGUUUGUCCCCUGACAGCCGGGUCCUAAUGUUUUUUGAGCAACACACAAUACUAUGACAUUUUUACAAUGAUGGUUCUACUAUGGAACCAGUUUGACAUGUUCAGGUGUUCUUUGUGUGAAAACUCAGAGAUUUCAGGUAUCAGAAGGUGGUUUUCAACUUUCUUUGUUAACUUUCUGCUUCAACUUUAAACUAAAUUUCCUUCACUAACCCAGCCCUCUGGACUUCCAGUAAGCUGUGUUCCUAUUGGCUGUCCAGGUGGCUGCUUGGUGUUAUCAGGAACAC